GCCAGCAGCCAUAUCACCCUGUAGCUCCCAGCUGGCAGCCCACUGCAGCUCAGCAGGUGUGAGCCUGGCCAGUACCUGGAUGGGAGUCUCCUGGGAAAGCUAAGGUUGCUGCUGGAA
rnacentral:rRNA from 1 species